rnacentral:rRNA from 1 species
AUUGAACGCUGGCGGCAUGCCUUACACAUGCAAGUCGAACGGCAGCACGGGAGCAAUCCUGGUGGCGAGUGGCGAACGGGUGAGUACUACAUCGGAACGUGCCCAGUAGUGGGGGAUAGCUCGGCGAAAGCCGGAUUAAUACCGCAUGAGACCUGAGGGUGAAAGCGGGGGAUCGCAAGAUCUCGCGCCAUUGGAGCGGCCGAUGUCAGGUUAGCUAGUUGGUAGGGUAAAGGCCGACCAAGGGAACGAUCUGUAGUUGGUGCGAGAGCACGACCAGCCGCACUGGGACAGAGACACCGCACAGACUCCUACGGGAGGCAGCAGUGGGGAAUUUUUGGCACUGGGCGCAAGCCUGAGUCAGCAAUGCCGCGUGCAGGAAGAAGGCGUUCGGGUUGUGAACUGCUUUUGUCAGGGAAGAAAUCUUCUGGGCUAAUACCCUGAGAGGAUGACGGUACCUGAAGAAUAAGCACCGGCUAACUACGUGCCAGCCGCCGCGGUAA